ACAAUCAAUCAAUCAGUUUAGUGAUUUCAGUUAAUUCAGUCAAUUAUCAUAAUCAGUCUCAGUUUAACAGUGAUUAGUGGUUUAUCAGUAAACAGUGGUGAGGGUUGUCACAGGAGCCAAGUUCUAGAAUUGCUGAGAUCUGCCUCGGGUUGGCCUCUAUUCCACGAUAGUUGACAAUAUAGCCGAGAAACUUGCCGAAUCCGAUGCCGAAUGCACAUUUCGCGGCGUUCAAUUUCAUUUUGUACUUUCGUAGAAUGCUGAAGGUUUCUGCUAAAUCGGCUAGAUGAGCGUGCUUUUCCUUGGAUUUCACCACCGUUUCAUUGAUGUAUACUUCUAUGGUGUGGCCUAGUUGUUCCAUGAACAUAGUGGUAACCAAUCUUUGGUAAGUUGCCCCCGUAUUCUUCAGCCCGAAGGACAUGACCUUGUAGCAAUAGAUUCCCCUUGGGGUGAGGAAUGCGGUCUUUUCCUGAUCCUUCGGAUGCAUGACAAUUUGGUGAUAACCUCUGUAGGUGUCCAAGAAACUUAUACGUUGAUGAUAUACCGUUGCGUCUACAAGUUGGUCGAUUCUGGGAAGAAGAAAACAAUCCUUAGGACAAGCCUUGUUCAAAUUCAUAAAAUCUACACAGACACGCCAAGAUCCACUCUUCUUCUUUACAACCACAGUAUUGGACAACCAAGUGGGGUAAGUUACUUCACGAAUUGCCACGGCAUCAAGCAAUUUGUCAACUUCAUUAACAAUAGCCGAUGCAUGCUCCGCGGCUGACCGUCAACUUUUCUAAAUGAUUGGUUUGAAUUUUGGAUCAACGUUUAAACGAUGCUAAGCCACGCCUGGAUCCACCUCCGACAUUUUGUAUGGUAUCUAUGCAAACACGUCGAGAUUGUCGAGUAAGAAGGAAACCAAAUCAUGUCUGUCAAAUUCAUUCAGGGAAAUGUCCAUAAUGAAGAAUUUGUUAGGCUCCCAUUGAUUUCGAUCCGGUCAAGAUCUUCAGUUGCCUUUUUGCUGGGGGUUUUCUUAAUGUCCUCGAGGCUCUCUCGAUCCAGUAUUUCAAUCGAGUUCACUUCCAGCUUCUUUGGCUUCUUUACGGCAACAAUGAGAUCGAAUGGUUAUGUCGAUUUCUGAGAACCCCGAAUUUGCUCGAUGCCGUACUCAGUUAGAAAGCGGAGAAGUUGAUAGUAGAUGCUCAGCACGGUUUGCAUAGUAUGCAACCAAGUCCUUCCCAUAAUGAGAUUGUAUGGUGACAGGAGUUUUACGACCAGAAAUUCUACGUCUAUUGAUCUGGUACCUGCCCGUACUGGUAAUGUGAUCUUACUUAAGGGAUAUUCUGGGUUAGCGUUGAAGCCGAAUAAUGGGUAAUCGGCCAAUAACAGAUUCAAAUUAGUGAAGCCGAGUUUCACGAACGUCUUGUAAUACAUUAUUUCUGAGGUGCUUCCCUGAUCGAUGAGAACACGCUCAACUGUGAAUCUGUUCACGCGUAGCUCGAUGAUAAGAGGAUCAGUGUGGGGGAUAGUUUUUUCAUAUAGGUUGGUGUCAUCAAAGCUAAUCUUGCCAAUUUCAUGGGGAUGUUUGGCUGGUGUGAUUGGCUUGGGCAGGCUAGGUUACAACUGAAUUGUAUGCAGCUCGGCUGACUACAGUAGGCUGUAUAUCAUGUAGAUCACACCAAGUGGGGGUGAAUCCGUCCGUAGGGCUACUGUGUUCGAUGGAUUUUUUUUUCGGAUGUGUUGCGCCGGCCGACCGUCUUGUACCAAUUCCUCCAGGUGGUCCUUUAGUGCAUAACAACUAUCAGUAUCAUGGCCAUGGUCCUUGUGAUAUUCGCACCGCUUAUCCGUUCUCCUUGUAUCAGAAGGCCUCAUCAUCUUGGACGGCCAUUUAAAGAAUGGAAGAUGUUAGACUUUGGACAAGAUCUUACUGACCGGCUCCACCAAUUCCGUAUACUUCUUGUCUGAAUGUCUCGUGCCCCUGUUAUCCACUUGAUAUUGUUCGUUUGAACGAUACGAACAUUGGUUGCUUGAACAGCGCAAAUCGAGCUGGUUGUCUCGUUUAGCCCGAGUCCGAGGUUUGGGGCUCCUUAAUGGCACGAUGCUUAUCAGCUGAACCAAACCAGAUGGAGCCAAUUUAAUGGCUUUCUGUCCAACCUUGACGCGUAGGGCAUCGUCUUUCACCUUAUAAUAUUCUUCAACUUUCUUCAUUAGCACCCAAACUAUUUUCGAAGGUCGUCUGGUCAAUGAACUGCGGAGAGGACUAUCAUGAUGUAAUCUCAUCUUAAAAGUGGUAAUGACCAUGGAAUUAUUGCAGGCAUCAUCCACCAAGUUGAAACAUUCCUAAUAAUGCGCUGAAUACUCACGGAGGAUAUCUUCUAGUUUAAUUUGCAUUGCCCAGAGAGAGUUGGCUUGCUUUGGCUGAACUUUGUUGGUAAUGAAUCUUGCCCUGAAGGAUUUUUGGAGUUGAUGAAAGCAUCUUAUUGACGCCGACUCCAGUUUAUAGUACUAGCUCACGGCCAACGGUCCUAGGCUGCUUGGAAACAUUCGACACAUAAGGGCUUCAUCAUCAGCAUGCAACGUCAUCGCUUGUUUAUAAUGACGAAUAUGGUCAAUGGGAUCUAAUUUUUCGUCGUAUGGGGUGAAUGUUGGUGCUUUGAACUUUUUAGGCAGCACUGCCUUUGCAAUGCGUCAUACAAAAGGGUCGUAUCUAUCCUCUUCAUCCAAAUUAUCACUUUCUUUCUCCUGCUUGUGUCGUACAUGUGGACUUCCUUCGGAUGAGCUAGAUACAUCUACUCGCCCAUUCUUUUUGGGUUCCUGAGAUGGUGAGUCGGAAUCACUGCCCUUAUUAUGUUUCUGAAGUUAUCGUCGUCAAUCAUCUUUCUUUUUUUCAGAGGAUCGACCCCGGUCAUGGCGUGUGGCCUAUUGGGAUUUGACUAACUCCACGGCCAAUUCCUUACGCAGACGUUCGUUCUCAACAAUCAUAUCUUCUAGACGCUGUUCAUUUAGUUUUGCUUGAUCCAUGAUUGUUUGCACAGUUUUCUGCACAGAAAUUGAGUGAGAAGUUUGAGCUACUGGGUCGAAGUUCAAGGCCCGUUGCGCGGUGAUAUUCUCCGGUCCAAGCAUGUUUCUUGGAGUAAUGGCAUCUCUUGGUGUAACAUCGUCAGCAACUAUCGAAGGAUCUUCUGUCACGCCUGCUAUGGACGCACUUAAGCAUUCCCACAGACGGCGCCAAUUGUGGUGAUGUGGUUUGGAAAUAUUCCAGAAUCCAGUCAAAUGUCCCUAAUCCUCUGAUUGCUACCUGAAAAAGAAAUGAACACUUCGAUCGGGGGUGCCGGAAUUAGCACUUUGACGGAUAAGUUAGUAUUCUCUCUCUAGUUUACUUCUAUUUCAAGUUAUUCCGUUUAUUCUCACAUACCUUCCUUUUAGAUAAUGUUCCUCAUUUUGUAAUGCUCUUUUAAGGCCCACCUUCUGAUUUAUGGAAAUCCAGCCAAGACAAUUGGGCCCUCAUUUACACCGUAUCACCUUUAACAUACUCGGCUAUAAAAGUAAUCUUACUCGGUCGAGGCGCCCACAGUUAGUCGGCGUUUGAGAGCCGACUUGCAAAUGGCUCCAAAUUGUAGCAUUUUAUAUUCGGCCAAAGCAGUGAGUAAUAACUUUGUAAACCUAUGUUCAAUGUUAAAUAUUUUCUAAACAUGAUGAUAUGAUAUGAUUUGUUUCCUGAAAUACUAUUUGAAAUUAAAUGAAUGAUGGUCUAAUUCUUUGAAAUGUAUUCAUGGCAGCCUUAGCAUCAUAUGAUAUGCGUCCCUUUAUGGGUCAUUGGAAUGCCUUUAUGGCCGUCCCUUUAUAGGUCAUUGGAUUUGUUAACGCUAAUGGAUGUACCACGUAUGAUCACAUGGAAUAUAUGAACUUCGAACACGAAUAUGAAUUUGAGUGAGCAAGAGUAUGACCAGGCUCAGAGUUGAUUGCUUGGAGUUCUGUCUACCUGCCAGCCACUAUGCCUCCCGAGGAGGUUCCCUUUUGAGAAGUGCUCAAGUCUCGAGUACUCCCCGGGCGUGUGACACCCACGAAACCUAAAAUUGACACAUCUAACCCGUUUGUUUCAGUGUGUAACCCGUUAAUCCAAACGCGAUACGUGACCUAGACUUUAUCUCAACAAUUCAUUUAUUAACAUAUAAAAGAUUAAUAAAUUGUGUUAUUAUUAUUAUUAUUAUUACUUAUGUUUUCAUAUUAUUGUUGAACGGUGAUUGUAUAAAUAAAAUUUGAACAAAAAUUAAAUUGGAUAAAUAAGUUUUUUGUGUUAGAUCAAUUGUGUUGUGUUGUAUCGUGGUAAAUAGGUUUAGGAGUUAAUAUUGCCAAUCAGGUCUCCCACAGGUCGACAUGAUUAUUAAUAGGUCGUGUUUUUGUAUAUAUGACAUGUAGGUCGUGUUCAUAUUCAACCUUUUGCUCCAUGAACCUAAUAUGACACGACACGAUACCCACUCCUAAUUGAUAGUGCGAAUGUUCUGUGAUGUGAACAUUCACUGUCAAUGUGAAUAUUCACAAGUCAAUGUGAACAUUCACAUUGUCAAAUAUAAAUGUUCACAUCAUCAAAUUGCUAAGGCAUUAAAAAUGUUACGCCUCAGUUUUUUCUUACUUAAAUACAUUACCAAAUUUCUUACAAACAUUCAUUUCCAAAUUAUAAUUAUAGUAAUUAGACGCGUUAGAUAGAAUAAAUAAGGUUCUCUCUCCCAUUAGGGUAUAACCCUAAUCCAAUCCGAAUCUGAUUCGAUUAACCUGGUCCAUUUAUACAAAUCUGGAUUCAAAUACCCAUUUAAUCUGUAUUUACGUAGCCCAAUUUAAAACGGGUCAGAUUCAGAUAAAUCCAAUUUAGUGCAUUUGUUUGCCCAAUCUGAUUACAUUGAAUUCCAAUAAACGAAAUCAGAUCUCUCAUCGAAGAAUCAAAUCUUUUUCUCUCACCAUCUCUUUUAUCAUCUCUCAUCGAAGAAUACCUAGAUCUGAAAAAUCAAAUUUCUCUCUCAUCAUCCAAUCGAGUGUUGAUGACUGGGCUUCUUCUCUGACUUCGACGAAACAAGCUCAGAUUAGGAGAGCUCAAAAUCAAACUAUUUCAGUGCAUAUUUGAGUUUUUGAGCCAAAGAUGUCUUCGGAUUAUAGCGAACCUAUUAUUGGUGAUGAUGUCAAGUUGGAUGACGAUGUAUCUCAAAGACCUACAAAGAGGAGUCGAAAACUAUCUUCAAAGGACUUCAUAAUGGUGUUGAUGAAGAAGGAGAUGAAGAAGUCAGUUAAAUGCAUACAGAGAAAGUCUAAGACAAUUCACUUAGGAGAAGCUUGCGGAUAAUUUGUCAUUAAUUACUUUAUUUUGUUUUUGUGGUGAAAUGUUGGUAUAAAUGUAUAAAUUAAUUAUCAACUAUUAUAACUGUUUUAUUUUUGUCUAUGGUUGCCACAGUUUAGCAUUGAUGAGUUAGAUAGCGGAAAAACUAUUUAGUG